rnacentral:rRNA from 1 species
UACGAAGGGGGCGAGCGUUGUUCGGAUUUACUGGGCGUAAAGGGCGCGCAGGCGGCCGUGUUUGUCAGGCGUGAAAGCCCCGGGCUCAACCUGGGAAUGGCGCCUGGGACGGCAUGGCUAGAGAUCGGGAGAGGAGCGUGGAAUUCCGGGUGGAGCGGUGAAAUGCGUAGAGAUCCGGAGGAACACCGACGGCGUAGGCAGCGCCCUAGACGAGACCUGACGCUCAGGCACGAAAGCGCGGGGAGCGAACAGG